AGGUGUUUGAGAGUGUGCCAGGUGUUUGAGAGUAUGCCAGGUGUUUGAGAGUAUGCCAGGUGUUUGAGUGUAUACCAGGUGUUUGAGAGUAUGCCAAGUGUUUGAGAGUAUACCAGGUGUUUGAGAGUAUGCCAAGUGUUUGAGAGUAUACCAAGUAUUUGAGUGUAUACCAGGUGUUUGAGAGUAUACCAGGUGUUUGAGAGUAUACCAGGUGUUUGAGAGUAUACC